CCUCGAGUCACACGAUGAUGAAACUUGUGGCUUCACUGAAAACAACAGGUCUCCCGGUUCAGGCCGAACGAGAGGACUCUGAAAACGUUUGCAGCUUUAUUAAGUCAAAGAGCAUCUCGGAGCUGUCACGGCCCGCCCGCCACACGGGAGGAACUUCCCCUUCAGUCCUCGCCGUUACCCACAAGGCACCUGGACAGGAGAGCAUCGCGAUGGAGGCAGCGGUUGAUGUGAGGGAAAGACAAUCAGGCCCAGAUGUGACAGCAUGUUUCCCGUAUCAGAGACGAUUGGUACGCUGGGAGAGAACAAAAAGAAGAAGAAAGAGAGAGGGAGAGAGAGAGAGACGGGGGCUGCCACAGUGGUCUCGGCAUCUGUCUGUUCUCAACUGGUGUUGCGGCAAUGCUGGUGGGAGAAAAGCACACUCCACUGCACCAGAUGUCAUCGCCGAAGCAGAAUCACCGGCUCGCUUCAUCCCUCGCUCUUUAGUGAAGAUGAUUUUGAAUUCAUAUUGCCAAAAAUAAAAAUGAAAUAACAUUUUCAUUUUUUUUUUAAAUAUCAGAUGAAGUCUUUUGUCAGAUUGUGGCGGAGUAGGCUGACUCCACUCCUGUGAUCCUCCACAAACUUCUGCCACACACAUGCUCUCCACAUGGAUUGGCAUAGCACUGAAUAGUAGCUGAUUCUGUGCCGUUUAGAGGGAUCACUCAAUUUGUCUUAAUUUGUAUCUCAACAAGUUUAAACCAGAGAGUAUCCAUCCACACACGGACAGUUCACAUUCUUUUUUUUAGCAUUUUAGAAAAUCUGAUACGGGAUUAAAACCAUAUUUUUGGUACUUUUGCUUUCAUUGUAAGGUCAUAAAGGAUUUGGUCAAAUAUUAUAUUAGCCUGACUUCAUGUAAGUAAAAGUAUUUUCUUUCUUCUC